rnacentral:rRNA from 1 species
UACGGAGGGUGCAAGCGUUAUCCGGAUUCACUGGGUUUAAAGGGUGCGUAGGAGGGCAGGUAAGUCAGUGGUGAAAUCCCCGAGCUUAACUUGGGAACUGCCGUUGAUACUAUCUGUCUUGAAUGUUGUGGAGGUGAGCGGAAUAUGUCAUGUAGCGGUGAAAUGCGUAGAUAUCUGGAGGAACACCGGUGGCGAAGGCGGCAUCCUGGACCAACACUGACACUGAGGAGCGAAAGCCAGGGGAGCAAACGGG